rnacentral:rRNA from 1 species
UAGGGGAAUCUUCCACAAUGGACGCAAGUCUGAUGGAGCAACGCCGCGUGAGUGAAGAAGGGUUUCGGCUCGUAAAGCUCUGUUAGUUAAAGAAGAACGUGGGUAAGAGUAACUGUUUACCCAGUGACGGUAUUUAACCAGAAAGCCACGGCUAACUACGUGCCA